UACGUAGGGUGGCGAGCGUUGUCCGGAAUUAUUGGGCGUAAAGAGCUUGUAGGCGGUUUGUCGCGUCUGCUGUGAAAAUCCGGGACUCAACCCCGGACCUGCAGUGGGUACGGGCAGACUAGAGUGUGGUAGGGGAGACUGGAAGUUCCCGGUGUAGCGGUGAAAUGCGUAGAUAUCGGGAGGAACACCAGUGGCGAAGGCGAUCACCUGGGGUUGUUCUGACGCUGAGGAGCGAAAGCUAGGGGAGCAAACGGG
rnacentral:rRNA from 1 species